GCAAAGAGGGAUACAUGAAAGGGGAGGGGCUCAGCAGGAUACAUGAAUGGGGAGGGGCUCAGUGGGACACAUGAAAGGGGGAGGGGCUCAGCGGGAAACAUGAAAGGGGAGGGGAUCAGAGGGAUACAAGAAAGGUGGAGGGGCUCAGUGAGACACAUGAAAGGGGAGGGGCUCAGAGGGAUACAUGAAAGGGGAGGGGCUCAGUGAGACACAUGAAUGGGGAGGGGCUAAGAGGGACACAGGAAAGGGGAGGGAAUCAGAGGGAUACUUGAAAGGGGGAGGGGCUAAGAGGGACACAGGAAAGGGGAGGGGCUCAGUGGGACAAAGGAGAGGGGAGGGAAUCAGAGGGAUACAUGAAAGGCGAGGGGCUCAGAGGGAUACUUGAAAGGGGGAGGGGCUCAGAGGGUUACAUGAAAGGGGAGGGGCUCAGUGAGACACAUGAAUGAGGAGGCACUAAGAGGGACACAGGAAAGGGGAGGGGCUCAGCGGGACAAAGGAAAGGGGAGGGAAUCAGAGGGACACAUGAAAGGGGAGGGGCUCAGAGGGAUACUUGAAAGGGGGAGGGACUCAGGGGACACAUGAAAGGGGGAGGGGUUCAGAGGGAUACAUGAAAGGGGAGGGGCUCAGCGGGAUACAUGAAAGGGGAGGGGCUCAGAGGGAUACAUGAAAGGGGAGGGGCUCAGUGAGACACAUGAAUGGGGAGGGGCUCAGAGGGACACAGGAAAGGGGAGGGGCUCAGAGGGAUACAUGACAGGGGAGGGGCUCAGAGGGAUACAUGAAAGGGGAGGGGCUCAAGGGGAUACAUGAAAGGGGAGGGGCUCAGAGGGAUACAUGAAAGGGGAGGGGCUCAGAGGGAUACAUGAAAGGGGAGGGGCUCAGUGAGACACAUGAAUGGGGAGGGGCUCAGCGGGAUACAUGAAAGGGGAGGGGCUCAGAGGGAUACAUGAAAGGGGGAGGGGCUCAGAGGAACACAGUAAAGGGGAGGAGCUCAGCGGGACACAGGAAAGGGGAGGGGCUCAGAGGGAUACAUGAAACGGGAGGGGCUCAGAGGAACACAGGAAAGGGGAGGGGCUCAGAGGGAUACAUCAAAGGGGAGGGGCUCAGAGGGAUACAUGAAAGGGGAGGGGCUCAGAGGGACACAUGAAAGGGGAGGGAAUCAGACGGAUACAUGAAAGGGGAGGGGCUCAGAGGAACACAGUAAAGGGGAGGGGCUCAGAGGGAUACAUGAAAGGGGAGGGGCUCAGAGGGAUACAUGAAAGGGGGAGGGGCUCAGAGGGAUACAUGAAAGGGGAGGGGCACAGAGGGAUACAGGAGGGGCUCAGUGAGACACAUGAAUGGGGAGGGGCUCAGUGGGAUACAUGACAGGGGAGGGGCUCAGAGGGAUACAUGAAAGGGGAGGGGCUCAGAGGAACACAGUAAAGGGGAGGGGCUCAGAGGGAUACAUGAAAGGGGAG
ensembl:lncRNA